rnacentral:rRNA from 1 species
UGAGGAAUAUUGGUCAAUGGACGCAAGUCUGAACCAGCCAAGUAGCGUGCAGGAUGACGGCCCUAUGGGUUGUAAACUGCUUUUAUAUGGGGAUAAAGCGGGGAACGUGUUCCCUUUUGCAGGUACCAUAUGAAUAAGGACCGGCUAAUUCCGUGCCAGCAGCCGCGGUAAUACGGAAGGUUCGGGCGUUAUCCGGAUUUAUUGGGUUUACAGGGAGCGUAGGCCGUUUGGUAAGCGUGUUGUGAAAUGUAGGAGCUCAACUUCUAGAUUGCAGCGCGAACUGUCAGACUUGAGUGCGCACAACGUAGGCGGAAUUCAUGGUGUAGCGGUGAAAUGCGUAGAUAUCAUGAAGAACUCGGAUUGAGAAGGCAGCUUACGGGAGCGCAACUGACGCUGAAGCUCGAAGGUGCGGGUAUCGAACGGG